rnacentral:rRNA from 1 species
AUGAACGCUGGCGGCAGGCCUAACACAUGCAAGUCGAGCGGUAGCACAGGGAGCUUGCUCCUGGGUGACGAGCGGCGGACGGGUGAGUAAUGUCUGGGAAACUGCCUGAUGGAGGGGGAUAACUACUGGAAACGGUAGCUAAUACCGCAUAACGUCGCAAGACCAAAGAGGGGGACCUUCGGGCCUCUUGCCAUCAGAUGUGCCCAGAUGGGAUUAGCUAGUAGGUGGGGUAACGGCUCACCUAGGCGACGAUCCCUAGCUGGUCUGAGAGGAUGACCAGCCACACUGGAACUGAGACACGGUCCAGAACUCCUACGGGAGGCAGCAGUGGGGAAUAUUGCACAAUGGGCGCAAGCCUGAUGCAGCCAUGCCGCGUGUAUGAAGAAGGCCUUCGGGUUGUAAAGUACUUUCAGCGGGGAGGAAGGGAUAAAGGUUAAUAACCUUGUCGAUUGACGUUACCCGCAGAAGAAGCACCGGCUAACUCCGUGCCAGCAGCCGCGGUAAUACGGAGGGUGCAAGCGUUAAUCGGAAUUACUGGGCGUAAAGCGCACGCAGGCGGUCUGUCAAGUCGGAUGUGAAAUCCCCGGGCUCAACCUGGGAACUGCAUUCGAAACUGGCAGGCUAGAGUCUUGUAGAGGGGGGUAGAAUUCCAGGUGUAGCGGUGAAAUGCGUAGAGAUCUGGAGGAAUACCGGUGGCGAAGGCGGCCCCCUGGACAAAGACUGAC